GAUGAACGCUCGCGGCGUGUCUAACACAUUCAAGUCGAACGCAUCCUUCGGGGUUAGUUGCAGACGGGCGAGUAACGCUUGGGAACGUGCCCUUGAGUUCGGGAUAACUCAGGGAAACUUGGGCUAAUACCGGACACGGGCGAGAGCAGAAAGAUUUAUCGCUGAAGGAUCGGCCCGCGUCUGAUUAGCUAGUUGGUGGGGUAAUUGCCCACCAAGGCGACGAUCAGUAGCUGGUCUGAGAGGAUGAUCAGCCACAUUGGGACUGAGACACGGCCCAAACUCCUACGGGAGGCAGCAGUUGGGAAUAUUGAACAAUGGGCGAAAGCCUGAUCCAGCCAUGCCGCGUGAGUGAUGAAGGCCUUAGGGUCGUAAAGCUCUUUCGUCCGGGACGAUAAUGACGGUACCGGAAGAAGAAGCCCCGGCUAACUUCGUGCCAGCAGCCGCGGUAA
rnacentral:rRNA from 1 species